rnacentral:lncRNA from 1 species
UAAGCACAAAGAACUAUAGAAAGCUUAAAAUGCUUACAAAAGAUUGGACGGACUUAGAACAAAGAAAGCUUAAAAUGCUUACAAAGGAUUGGACAUAGACUUCUUCUCAAGUAAGACUCUGGUUUUUCGACCGAUGUCUUGCAAGAGACUGAGCUAGAGGAUAUAUAGAGAAAAGAGGAUAGAACCGGGUACUCAUUGGGCCCCAUCGCAUACUUAUCCCUUCAUCUGAUAUAUCUACUAGACUUCCUGCUGAAGGAAAGCAUAUUCCUUGGUACAAUUAUUGAUGACACUACGAGUGGCUCCCCGAGGCUCAACUCGUUUUUCUUGACAGCUAAGAAAAGCAGAUGCUCUACCCUACGCAACUUGUCUUUACUUGGCGGC